rnacentral:rRNA from 1 species
AUUGAACGCUGGCGUCAGGCCUAACACAUGCAAGUCGAACGAGUGGCGGACGGGUGAGUAAUGUCUGGGAAACUGCCUGAUGGAGGGGGAUAACUACUGGAAACGGUAGCUAAUACCGCAUACCAUCAGAUGUUCCCAGAUGGGAUUAGCUUGUUGGUUGGGUAACGGCUCACCAAGGCGACGAGCCCGAGCUGGUCUGAGAGGAUGACCGGCCACACUGGAACUGCGACACGGUCCAGACUCCUACGGGAGGCAGCAGUGGGGAAUAUUGCACAAUGGGCGCAAGCCUGAUGCAGCCAUGCCGCGUGUAUGAAGAAGGCCUUCGGGUUGUAAAGUACUUUCAGCGGGGAGGCGGGAACCGAAGAAGAAGCACAGGCUAACUCCGUGCCAGCAGCCGCGGUAAUAG